rnacentral:rRNA from 1 species
UACGUAGGGGGCAAGCGUUGUCCGGAAUCAUUGGGCGUAAAGAGCGUGUAGGCGGCCUGAUAAGUCGGUUGUGAAAGUCAAGGGCUCAACCCUUGAAUGCCGGCCGAUACUGUCAGGCUAGAGUCCGGAAGAGGCGAGUGGAAUUCCUGGUGUAGCGGUGAAAUGCGCAGAUAUCAGGAGGAACACCGAUGGCGAAGGCAGCUCGCUGGGACGGUACUGACGCUGAGGAGCGAAAGUGUGGGGAGCGAACAGG